CAAAAGACAAGAAAACAAACAUGGGGUGUUGUAGCAUAGCUUUGCUGGCAUGGCUGGUGAGAAAGAAUGAAAUUAGUGGAUGAUUAAGACGACAUGUAUCAUUCAAAGCAAAGUGGGGAUACAGAAUCAGCAAGUGGAUUCACUGAUCCAAUAACGUCCAAUAAUCAAAAGUCAAGCACCAAUGAAAAAAGUAGAGGGUCGGUACCCAUGUUUGAAGUUUAUUACAUUGACACUCAUAUCCUUCAUCACUCCAAUAUUUCUCCUUCAUCUCUCAUUUCUGCCAUUUUUACACCAUUCUCUAGUUCCUCUUAAAUUUCCUGGCAGAGUGUAAUGUGCAGUAUGAAAAGAAAAUUUGAAGACUAUGGAAAAUGAAGGUAAAAGGUUCAACACCACCAUAACUAAGAGUCUGUUAGAUUAGCUCUAUCUUGAUUAUAACCAAAUUAAGAACAAGUUAGGUAAUUAGGUUAAGGUUAAAAUAGUCCAUGAUCAAAUAAAUGCUUUAACCUAUCAUUUAUAUAUUUAUUUAUUUAUUUUUAAUGGAGACUCUACUGUAUGUUAUCUCUCAUCACUUUCUACAAUUGCAACUUUUAAAUUUAAUGGUUUGAAAGCAAAAGUUUGGAUAAUGAAUAGAUCAUAGCACUUCUGAGUUUCUCAAUCAUCAGCUAUUUAAAGCAAUGGUCAGAAACUAACUUCCCCACUAGCCUUCUGUAGAGCCCUUUGGAGAAAUAAUUCAAACAAAUCUAUCUGGUAUAAGCAUGGAGCUCUGCUGGCAAAAAUCAAUCCAUGGCUCUUGAAGAAGCAUGGAGGAUUGUGUGAGAGGGUCCUCACCCUUCACACUGCACCUCUUACAGUUUGCUUAUGCUUAGCCAUUGGCUUCUCUAAUCAUUAACCACAAAGGGGUAUAUAUGGAGGAACAUAAUUCUCUUUGAGUCUCAUGAUGCAGAGAAACAUUCUCCAUAGGUCAGAGAAGCUCUGGCUGCAGCCAAGCAAACCGGCAAGUCACAGAAAGGCAAUGGACUCUCUCUCAUUAAGGGGUCCUUAUGGCUAUGUAAUUGACUCUAUUAUAGUCCUUCUUCUUCUUCUUCUUCUACAAGUAGAAUGUAAUAAACAAAGAUGUUCUUUCUUUGAGAAGCUAUAGCUACCAACUUGUGUUGUCCACAACACUCAAUUUGCAGAUGACUAGAAUCCGGCUCUCUUCAGGUUCUGCAGAUGAGUAGAAUUUUUGUACUCAUCAGACUUUGAAGUGUUAGAACUGCUGCUCCCAGAGGUAGAAGAGUGGCUAGUGUUGAAAGGCAAGAAGGGGCAAGAAGCAAGCGAAGAAUUUGCACCAACAGUGUUUAGUUGUGGAACAAAGACGGCAACUUUGGGAACUCUGAGAGAUUUACCAAGAAUGAAGAGGGACAACAAAACAAGAGAAGCUACAACACCUAAACUGAACCAUGAAAAAAGUCUUCUUCUGUGUGGCAAAAAGGGAUCAGAGAAGGCGAGUCUCUUCACAGAGAAAAGAACAUGCAUGCUGCUCUUGCUACCAAAAGCGAAAGCUUGAGUAUAUCAGAGUGAUUUUGGAGGUGUGGAACAAGUGAAGAAAACAAUGUUCUUGGAGAUUCAGAGUUGGGUUGGUGCAGGGUGUGGUGAUGUUGUGUGUCUCCUUUUGAAAGAAAGCAGAGGAACAACACAGACAAAAACAAAAUGAACCUGUUACAAUAGGAGUAAUAAUACUAUAAUACCAUGUUCCAACAAAAGGAUUUCUAUAUACCUAAAUAUUAUUUAUAUCUCCAAUUUAA